GCCUUCAUCGUCAUUCGGCGCAGUUCAUUGGUCGUCGCCUUUUGAAUACUUCCGGGAUUUCUUGUUGACGCGUCGCUUGAAACGGGGAAAAUAAAAAGCUCAAUUUGAGCAAACUGCAAACUUUCGAUAUGGUCUGACUGAUUAUCAAAGCGAGCAUCUACGUGGUCAGGAAGAUCCGGGCGGCCAUUGCCAAUGGAGAGCAACCGGAAGAGCCCGUCGAGACGCCAUGUAGGGCUAUCGCUAAAAAGAGAGCGGCGCGAGCACUGCAAGAGUCACCUCAGGCCCUAAUGACAUCAGAAACGGUGGCGGCGGUCGGCGUCGACGGGACCUCCGCGACGCCCUCGACUGUGCAGAAAUGUGGCUCCUCAAGUUAAAUCACCGGUCAUUAAUAGCAUUCUUCGAUGACCGCGCUGCGCUCUUGUUGAAACAUAUUGUGCAAGUGUCGAUAUUGUCUGCUGCAAGCGCGUGAAGACUCGCCUCACCAAGCGAUCCACAGAGCCUGAGCGGGUCUGAUAAAAGUUUUGCAACGAUGGUGUCAAUAAACGUGUUCAACUGUG